GAUGAACGCUGGCGGCGUGCCUAAUACAUGCAAGUCGAGCGAACGGACGAGAAGCUUGCUUUUCUGAUGUUAGCGGCGGACGGGUGAGUAACACGUGGAUAACCUACCUAUAAGACUGGGAUAACUUCGGGAAACCGGAGCUAAUACCGGAUAAUAUUUUGAACCGCAUGGUUCAAAAGUGAAAGACGGUCUUGCUGUCACUUAUAGAUGGAUCCGCGCUGCAUUAGCUAGUUGGUAAGGUAACGGCUUACCAAGGCAACGAUGCAUAGCCGACCUGAGAGGGUGAUCGGCCACACUGGAACUGAGACACGGUCAGACUCCUACGGGAGGCAGCAGUAGGGAAUCUUCCGCAAAGGGCGAGAGCCUGACGGAGCAACGCCGCGUGAGUGAUGAAGGUCUUCGGAUCGUAAAACUCUGUUAUUAGGGAAGAACAUAUGUGUAAGUAACUGUGCACAUCUUGACGGUACCUAAUCAGAAAGCCACGGCUAACUACGUG
rnacentral:rRNA from 1 species